GCUUGCACGUGGAAGAAGGUUCUGAACUACAAGGAAUUUGAACAUCACUUGCAGCUUCUUUGAGACCAGGAAACACGUCAUUUUAAACCUAUUAUCUUGUAUAUUGUCGGUUCUGUGAAGGGCCACAGUGCGUUUAUUCGGCUAGCUUGAGGGUUGCCGAAGUAAGUGGUUCAAAUUUAACGUUGAGGAUUGAUUGAUCGGUCGUCUUGUCGCUAAUUUCUCCUUCAAGCGCCCAGUACAAAAUUAGAAGAUCGUAUCUAAAUCAAGGAAAUCAUGACUUGAAUGGAAAAUAGGAUAACCUCAAGAUGGACAAUUUUUCUUGUAAGGCUGUAAUCAUGAGGAAGUGUUAGUGAUGUGAACGUGGAUUUGGAAGUUUCAAGCUACACUCUGUAAUUGAGUUGUUGUUGUGAAACUUUUGAUUACAGUGUUGAGAACUUCAAGAUGGUUUUAAACCUAGGACCAUAAACGUUAGUUUCCUGCCAGGUAGUCGAGGAAAGAAGGGGUUGCAAAAUUACUCUGAUAACUUUUGUAGAUCUUGAUACCUUGUAAAAGAAUAAAGUAUUGGGAAACGUU